CGUAUAACUUGUAGUCUCUUUUAACAGUUUACGAUAACAAUUGGUUUUUUAACGAUUUUUGGAGCAAACUUUAUAGGGUCGUUUACAAUUUAUAUUCCACGCUCGGAAGCUAUAUCUUCUCCAAGCUUUACGGCGAGAUACUCCGCAUUACCUUAACGAGAAUGUGAAAUUCAUGUUGCGGGAUGAUAACAAAUGAAGCGCGCAUCGCUUCAACAUUCGCAGCAGGACAAGGAAUUUGUUGUGAGGACGACUACGAAAUUAAGGAUCGUGAAGGAUCCAGUGCAACGUUUUCUAAUCUUGUUCGAGUCAAAUAAUUGCGGUCGAUCAUCGUUGAGUGAGAAAAGUGGUAAUCGGCGCGCCAGGUGGAUGCGGCUGUAUCUGUGGCCGUGAUACGCGAAAAUGGCGGUUGCGCCCGGUAAGAAUAAAUUGAAAAUGGGCAGUGCGAGCCGAUACUACGGUGCUUAUCUCAUCUACGACGUGGCAAACUCAUGCCUCGCCGCCUUGCACGCCAAGAUGCCUCCUCCAGUCGUCGUCACGCGAACCAACCCUCCGUCUCCUGUGCACGUCCAGAACCCCCGUAAGUUUUCUUCGUCUUUUCUACAUUUCUCCGUUUGUGUGACUGGCGCUUCGGUAACGCGAUAGCGAUUGCAGAUGUUCAAUUCCCUCGAUUUUCUUCGCGUUUCACCAAUUAAAUUUUUCCUCCGAGAUGAAUCUCUUUAGUGAUGGAUUUGGUAAAAUGUAAUAAUGUAAUUUCACGAAUUGUUUUGUAGAUUUUCACAGCUAGGAUGAUGCAAUAUUUCCGUAAUAUGGGAAGAUUUAUUAUUAUUAUUAAAUAUAAUGAAAAAAACAUCGUAUAUAAAAUUUACAUAGAUAAUAUUCUGCAAAUAAAAAUGUAGACAUUCUAUGAAUAAAUAUAGAAAUUUACAUUGCAGAUUAUAUGUUUGAGAUUAGGCGAGUAUCAUAAGAAGAUAUGUUCCGAUAUCUAAUCUAUGAGAUAUUAAGUACGAUACAAAACAAAUCAAAUUGUUCUUCUUUGUUACCAACAAUAAGAUAUGAGAGCUCGUAUAGAUAGUUAAUGGCAGGAUCUUUCGGUUGCAUGUUUUGAACCGAUUAGAACCAACACAUUUAAAAAGAAAAAGAAGAAGAGGAUAUUAAACGAACAAACGUGUAAAAAUAAAAUGUUUUAACGGUCUUGUUAACUUUAUCAAGACGAUUUACCAGGCAAGAAUUACUUAUCGCUUUGUUAACAGCUAUAAUAUUGCACAUACGUAUUUAUAUUUGGACUGCACAGCGACUAUUCACACCGAGAUAUAUAAAACCAUGUUUCGGCCAAACAUAUUUACGUACAUUUAUUAUAUUGCGUCGCACAUGAACAGAGACACAUAAUUAUAUUAUGCGGACUGAGUUACAUUCAGUAUUACAAUAUUUUUAAUUACAUUAAUGUAAUACGAGAAUGCCUCGGCUCAUAUCACGAUGCCAUCGCAUUUUCAUAGCCAGUCCAGCACGAGAUUGUACUUUCAUUUUUAACCCCAACGUAGAUAAAAUCUAAAUACGGCGUUUCUCUCGAAAAAUUCGAAUCAAUUUCACGUAGUAGGCGAGGCGCUGUAUGGUAUACUAAACAGUUCCACGCCCGUUUCCGCACAAACGACUUUUAAGGCAAUAUCGAUAACAUUAAAUAUUCACUACCCAAAUACGUCCAAAGCUGAUGUCUUAUUCAGAGAAAUAGCGGCGUAACAGCGUGCAUGCGAGUACGGUGUACAUUAUUCUCAUAACCGUAUGCUGCAGCAAUGCGUAGUAAACUGUUUUCAAUGGCGAGUAUCGCUAUACGUAUAAUAUCGCAAUAUAUAAACUAAUAGUGAUGGUAACUCGAGGAAGACUUCUCAUAACAGCUGCCGAUCCCGUGUCAUGGGUGAUGGCAGCCAUGCUUAAACUUCUUUAAUAUUGCACAGAGAAAUUUUUAGACUGCAAAAUUUUAUUUUUUUUUUAUGUUGUUUUUAAAUUGUCAUUUCAAUAUCUUUGAGAUAAUACUGUAUAAAAAGAAUACAAAAA
rnacentral:lncRNA from 1 species